UAAUCUUUAGUUUUCUUGCAUUAACUAUUUGAGCAAAUGGUACAGUAGCAACAUGCCUGAUGCCUGCUAUUUCAUCGCUGGAACGUACUUCAUCCAUUGAUUUACUAGAGUAUAUAUGUAUUUGAUCACAUACUCUGUUUAGGCAAUACAUGUUGUUCAACCAGCAUCUCUAGGAUUGAUUAGCAUAUUGAGUGCCUGUUAUGCUCUUGUGCCUUUCAUUUAUCUUUUAUGCUAAGCAGUCACACAAAUGAUGCAGACAUCUUCCUUGGAUUCUCAUGAUUGUUAAUUACAUGUGCAGUGAAUUCCCCCAAUAACCCGCAUGACGAUGGGGUGCGCAACCUGGGUAACCGUCCUAUGUAGAAAACUAAGGGAUUGGUGACAUUGGGUUGCAGAAGGUGAUGUACCAAUAGUUGCAUCACAUGGAGCUGAAAUUGAAAUGUACAAGGAGCUUGAACCAUCGAGUCGCUUACUGAUCUUGAAAGCGAUAUGCGACAGACAUUUCGAGAAAAUAAUUACAACUAGCUCAGCGACAAGGGCUCUGGGUCAUCAGCUUCGACAAGUGGAGGUACAAGUUCAGGCACGACGAGCUUUUUUUUGUAAAGAUGUGAUAUUGAUGUUUGAAUCUUCCUUCUGAUCCUGUUAAUGAUAACGAGGUUCUCUUGAUAGAAUGUGAAGUCAACCCUUGUUUUGUUAGCUUUUGCGCUAUAUUGUGUUCUUCGUCAAACACAAAUCGCUACCGACAGGGUGUGGUGUGGACCCCUGGACUUCCACGACACAGCCUUCAGCACUGUUCCAACAUGCUCUGGUCCUCGGACUCUAUUUGUUUGUACAACAUUGAAGACAGCGUGAUGGUUGCCUCCGGGCCAUGGCAGGCAUUCUUCCUGAAGCAGGAGGACAUGCACGUCCCGAUUCAAUGGCGAUGUGUAGAUGUGUUGGCCUAUCACAUGAGCAGCCACAUGGUGACUGUCUUCACGAGACUUCUUCUUUCUACCA